UAAUCUUGUUCAUCACAGGAAAUGAAGCAUUGUUUACGAAAUGUUUGCGUGCAGUUAAAGUAGCAUACGACAUUUCUCAUAUAAGGAUGGUAUAUUUCAAUUUAUGUCAAUGUUACAGUGACCGGCAAAUAUGAAAUACAUAUAUUUUUUUAUGUUAGUUUUUAUUUGUCUAGCUUCAUGCUAUGGGCAAAAAAUACUUUCUUUCCGCAGUAUUAUUGAAGACUCCCAAGAAGACUUAAAACCUCUGAAGCGGGUAACUAGACAAAAGAUGCCCCAAUUUCCUGAUAUGCCUCAACCGCCAGAAAUAAAACCCCUUAGCGAUGUGAUGUUACAAAUGAAAGACUUGGUCAGAGCGCGUAAAAGAAGAGAAGCUAAAGGUGUCGGUGGUUCCUUACCAACACGUAAAGGUUGAUUUUUUUUAAAUCUUUCUGCACUUCGCCUAUGACAACAAUAAAGAUUAACGAUUUUUAUAGCAAGGUACCGGUUAUAUAAAAUAUAAACAUUUU